rnacentral:antisense_RNA from 1 species
UGUGAGAGCGGGCUUGCCCGCGAUAGCGAUGCUGCAUGUGCCGACGCUAUCGCGGGCAAGCCCGCUCCCACA